rnacentral:piRNA from 1 species
UGCAUUUAAGUGCGCCGUGCGAUAUAG